rnacentral:lncRNA from 1 species
UUGAUUUACUAUCUAUAUACGAAGUUUGAAAACAAUCAAAUAGUUUGAAAGGAAGAUUUUGAUGCUGAAAUUUCGUCAUUUAGAUUUGAGUAGGAUGAAGGCCGACACUUGAGCAAAUUUUAGGAUUGAUCUUCUUUUUGGUGAAUUUGAUCUCCUUCAAAUUUUUUGUGCUUAUUAUCAAUUUAAUUGUUAAGAAGCAUGUAAAUUUUGAGUUAAAAUCAAAAAAUUAUUAAUUAGUUAUUAAGAUUUAAAUCUACUAUAGGAACUAUUUGGGAUUAAUUAGAGUUCUGUUAGGAUUUGGUUAGGAUUUAGGAUUUGGUUUAGUAUUAGGAUUAGUAUUUGGAUUUGAUUUAAGUUUUGGUUAAGUUCAAGAUUUAAUUAAGAUUUUUCUAAGAUUUUUUGACUAGGAUUAAUUUAGGAUUUCAUUAGGGUUUGCAUAGGAUUUGAUU